AUUGAACGCUGGCGGCAGGCCUAACACAUGCAAGUCGAACGAGUGGCGGACGGGUGAGUAAUGUCUGGGAAACUGCCUGAUGGAGGGGGAUAACUACUGGAAACGGUAGCUAAUACCGCACACCUUCACAUGUGCCCAGAUGGGAUUAGCUGGUUGGGGGGGUAACGGCUCACCAAGGCGACGAACCCUAGCUGGUCUGAGAGGAUGACCAGCCACACUGGAACUGAGACACGGUCCAGAGUCCUACGGGAGGCAGCAGUGGGGAAUAUUGCACAAGGGGCGAAAGCCGGAGACAGCCAUGCCGCGUGUAUGAAGAAGGCCUUCGGGUUGUAAAGUACUUUCAGCGGGGAGGCGUUACCCAAAGAAUAAGCACCGGCUAACUCCGUGCCAGCAGCCGCGGUAAUAC
rnacentral:rRNA from 1 species